GCCACAUGAUUAUGUUCAGAUUUCAUGAGCACCAUGUGCCAAGAUGACUCCUCAUCUAUCACCCAAGACUGAUGGCU
ensembl:snoRNA SNORD83 Small nucleolar RNA SNORD83